CGGCGUAAUGGGAUGAUCUACGCCAUGCGAGUCAUUGUAGUAAUACAAGGCAGACGGCUCAGUAACGCGUACUCUCCUAACCUAUGGACGGGAAUAACCUCGGGAAACUGAGUAUAAUGCCCGAUAGAACAUUAUGCCUGGAAUGGUUUAUGUUCCAAAUGAUUUAUCGCCGUAGGAUGGGACUGCCGCCUAUCAGUUUGUUGGUGAGGUAAUGGCCCACCAAGACUAUUACAGGUACGGGCUCUGAGAGGAGUGGCCCGGAGAUGGGUACUGAGACACGGACCCAGGCCCUAUGGGGCGCAGCAGGCGAGAAAACUUUGCAAUGUGCGAAAGCACGACAAGGUUAAUCCGAGUGGUUUCUGCUAAAGGAACCUUUUGUCGGUCCUAGAAACACCGAUGAAUAACGGGUGGGUCAGUUCUGGUGUCAGCCGCCGCGGUAAAACCAGCACCUCAAGUGGUCAGGAUGAUUAUUGGGCCUAAAGCAUCCGUAGCCGGCUUUGUUAGUUUUCGGUUAUAUCUGUACGCUUAACGUACAGGCUGCCGGGAAUACUGCAGAGCUAGGGAGUGGGAGAGGUAGACCGUACUCGGUAGGAAAGGGUAAAAUCCCUUGAUCUAUUGAUGACCCCCUGUGGGGAGGCGGUCUACCAGAACACGCCGACGGUGAGGGAUGAAGCUGGGGGAGCAACCCGAUUAGAUACCCGGGUAGUCCCAGCUGUAACUAUGCAACUCACUGAUGCAUUGGCUUGUGGCCAUGCAGUGCUGCAGGAAGCCGUUUAGUUUGCCGCCUGGAAGUACGUACGCAAGUAUGAACUCAAAUGAAUUGACGGAU
rnacentral:rRNA from 1 species